UCGGGAAUUUUGGGCAAUGGGCGAAAGCCUGACCCAGCAACGCCGCGUGAAGGAUGAAGUAUUUCGGUAUGUAAACUUCGAAAGAAUAGGAAGAAUAAAUGACGGUACUAUUUAUAAGGUCCGGCUAACUACGUGCCAGCAGCCGCGGUAAUACGUAGGGACCAAGCGUUGUUCGGAUUUACUGGGCGUAAAGGGCGCGUAGGCGGCAAUUCAAGUCAUCUGUGAAAUCUCCGGGCUCAACCUGGGAACUGCAUUCAAAACUGACUGACUAGAGUAUGGUAGAGGGUGGUGGAAUUUCCUGUGUAGCGGUGAAAUGCGUAGAUAUAGGAAGGAACACCAGUGGCGAAGGCGACCACCUGGACUGAUACUGACACUGAGGUGCGAAAGCGUGGGGAGCAAACAGGAUUAGAUACCCACGUAGUCCCUGAGCGGGCUGGCAAGGCGCAU
rnacentral:rRNA from 1 species